UGCUGCCCUGCCAUACACCACAAUCUCUAACCCUAUCCUCAUCCCCUUCCGUCUGCGGCGACAGCCGCCGCCAGGCCCUUCCCCCUCUGCGCUUAGCCGGCGUGACCCCAGCCAGAUUAGGCCCGCCAGCCGCCGCCAUGCUCCUUCCUCGCCCCUCUGCGCGCAGGGUAGACGGCGAGUGGCGGGAAGGGAAGUUGCCGCCGCGACCUCGGGCCGAUCCAAUCCAGAUCGGCCUGACGUAGGACGAGCUGGCGGCGCCGAGCCGCGACGGACGGUAGACCUCGAUGCCAGAAGAACGGGAGGCGCCAGGAGCCGGUGAAUAGGUCCGAGUCAAACAGAUCUGGCGCCGCUGACAAAAGCUGAAGGAUAGGUCUGAUUUCGCCAGAUCCGGCUUUACCUUUCUUUGUCUGACAUCUUUAUCUGGGAAAAGAAAGAGAUGACGAGCAGCUGCGAUAGGGACCACUAAUUGGAGACGGCGGAUCCACAGACCCCUCCCCUAAACGCUGCCGUUGAGGGCUGCGUCGAUAGUUUCGGUCUUCUUAUAUUUUUAAGAUGUCAUCUUUAAAGAAGAUGUGCUGUGCGGGUAUUACCGCAUGAUCUUUAGGUCGUUUUCUUUGUUUCUUUUUUUUUGUUUAGUGUUUGAAUCAGUAACAACAAAAUAUGUAAAUACGUUAACUUGUGGUAAGAGAUUAACAUUGUUGGUUCUUUAAAUAAUAUAUAUUUUUUUGUCUUCUAAAAUUUGGGUGUACAUAUCUCCAAUUUUAUUAUGAAUCUACAAAAGUAUUACUUACAGUAACAUAUGUUUUUUUUUUGUUAUGAUCUAUAUAGUGUUAUCUUGUCAAUGGAUUUAUUUUACCUUUGAUGUAAUCCAAUGCGAACAUGAAAAUAUAGUGAAAUAGCAAAGUUUGUACAUUACUAUUUCUUAUCUUCUUUUAAUAUAGUACUAAACAAAUGUAAGAAGUUAUUUGCGGUUUAAAUUAAAUAGCAAAAAUGUCUUACAUUUGUGUACAGAGUUAGUACUAAUAAAACACGUACUCCCUCUGUAAAGAAAUACAAGAGAUUUUCCUUACGGAGGGAGGACAUAUUUUUAACUUUUGUGCUAAUUGAUUAAUAUUGUUGGUUUUGUAAAUAAUAAUUGUUGUCUUCUAAUAUGAUGGUGUAGAUAAUUCUAAUUUUCAGUUAUGAUCUAUAGGGUUCUAUUUUGUUGUUGAGUUUUAUAUUAACUCUGAUAUACUCCAAUGACAUUAUGGAAAUACAGUACAUAUUUUUUUAUUAUGAUCUACAGAGUGCUAUUUUGUUGGUGGAUUUGUAUUAACUUUGAUGUAAUCUAGUGACAAAUGGAAAUACAGUCACAUAGCAUCUAUAGGUUAUUAUUUUCUUAUCGUAUUUGAAUCUAGUAACAACAAAAUAUGUAAACUUUUGUGGUAAGGGAUUCAGAUUGUUGGUUUUUAAAUGAUACUAUAACCUUUUUUGUGCUAUUUUUUGGUGGAUUUGUAUUCACUAUGAUGAAAUUUAAUGACAACAUGGAAAUACAGAAUGAUAACAUGGAAAUGCAGUGACAUAACAUUGUCUGCUAUAUCUUACAAGUUCUGACACACACACACACACACACACAUAUAUUACAUUCUUUUGGAAAAUAUAUAUUCUACAUCAUUAUUUCUUAGACUUUGUAGAUGGUUCUAGUUUUCUAAUGUAAUUUUUUAUUUCGUUCAUAAUUUUGUAUUCACUUAACUAGAAGUGAUGAAAAAUUUGUUAAGUUUGUCAUGUUAAAAAUUUGUUAAUUUGUGUUGUUUUAAUUUGAUAACACAAUCUGUUGGUGACAGCUCCAUUGUUUUAUUUGUGUAAAUAUAUGGGUGUUUUAUACAUUUCUUUUUUGACAUAGCAUAGUUAUGCGUCUUUGUUGCAGCAAGUUUUAAUAAAGAUACAUAUUUUAACUUCUGUUAAAGAAUUAAGAUCUUUGUGUUCUUUUGAUGAUAUAGAUUGUUGUGCUCUUCUCUUCUAGUAUGAUGCAUGUCAUGUCAUAAUAUGAUGACAAGUUAUGGUCUUAUAUUUGUUGCACCAAGAUUUAAUAAAUAACAGUAUAUCUUUCCGUGUCGACAAUUAUGGCUUUUUAUUGUAGUUUUUAAAUGUGAUGGCAUACUUAGUGGAAUGUACAUGUUUUUGAGAUAUGUUUGGUUGUUCCUUGAGAUAGAUCAUUUGUCGUCCUCUUGCAUGCUAUGUGUGGUCUAUAUCUUGCAGCUGAAUAGAGAUCUUCAUAUGAGAAUUAGCCUUUCAAAUAUGUACAUGUCCAGGAUUAUUAUGGCAUACUUAGUGGAAUGCAUUGUUGCCAACGUAUCCACUGGUAAAAGAGUUGACUUGUUAUAAAAAUCCAAAUGAAUUACAAUUGUGGAGACCUUAAAUAUUAUCUGCUAUGUAAUGCAUAGAGAUCUUGAAUGGGCCCACUUAUCAAGGUACCUGAUGUGUUUUGGCAAACAGAUCAUCACCACUAACUUGAAUAUUUCUGAGGUUGUAUUGGAGUAAAAGAGACUUUUAUUUGUUAUAGAUAAUUCAUUAUCAGUUCUUUUCUCAUUUUUUUACCCCAGUGCUACCAACAGCAGGUGAUAUGGAGUUUGAGUGUUCCAGUUCACAACUCAGCAGUAGAUUCUAUAGUAAUGUAAGUGAAAAUGAACCUAUAUGUAGAGGCAUCAUGUUGUUUGCUCCAGUCACAAGGUCACUUUCAUUCUUUAGUAGUUUUGUUUCUGGUGAAGUGAUGGUCUAAAAAGACUCUGAUUGUUGUAUAAACAUUGAGUCGCUGUUACUAAUGCAGUGCCACAUGCCAAAAUUCAUUUCAUGUUAAUAAUAAGUAUGACUUUCCUCUAAAUGUUAUUAUAUCAUUUGGCACAGAUCAGGCUGCAACUCAUGAGUCAUUGGGUCAAGACUGCCUGAAGACGAGUUUGCUGCCAAAGUAAAAACAUUGAGAUGCCAAAAUACCUGUUAGUUUAGUUCGUUUGAAACCAGGCACCAAAGAGUUACAAAAGAACCAUUUUCAGGUAGGUGUUAGAACAUCGAUGGAUUUUGUACACUCAAGAGGAGGCUUGGGGUUUUCAUUCGUGCAUCACCAGAAAUUUACAUCCAACAUCAUAGGGAAUAUCUUGGAUUGUCACUUGCAUUGGGGAAGCAAAGACCCAUGUUGACAUUGUCCUAAACGAAACACAUGUUAUACUAAACAGGACUGGAUGAAGUUUUUCUCAAAACAAAGUACACAAUGGGCGUGGAGGAUGUGUGUGGGCAUGGCAAACCUGAGAAGUGGUUAUUUUCCUGUGAGAACAGCCUAUCACUUGCUAGUUCAGAAAUGGUGGUCAGUUGAGGUUGCUUCAGGUUCAGGACGUGAGGAAAGUCCUAGUUGAAAAAGCUGUGGCGCUUUCCUGUGCAGCCCAGAGCAAUCCUCCGAAAUAGGCAUAUUGAAAGAAUUGGUUUUUGUGGACGUGGGGAAACCAUAUAUCAUGCCCUGUUUGAAUGUACAUGGGCAAAAUUAUUUUGGAAGGAAAUCAGAUAUGUUGCUGCAUUCAAGGUACCCGAGCUACACCCUCACUCUUGUGCUCACUCUUGGGCUAUUUGGUCACUGAGGGAUGCUAGAAAUCAUGGAGGAAGGAGCGGACAGUAGUGCACUCUGUCAAAUGGUUGUUGGAUGUGGCUUGGGAUUUAUCAUUAACGGAAGAGAAAGAAACGAUGUUAAGCACCAUUGGAAGCCACCCGAUGCAAGUACUAUCAAAAUCAGUGUUGCCUUCUCUAAUGCAAAUCACCAAUUAGGUACAGGUCUUGUAUCUGCUGUCAUGAGGGGAAGCUGAUAUGGGCACAAGCAUUGUGGUACAAUGUAGCUGCUAGUGCACCGACACUAAAAACUCUUGCAAUCAGCUGCAUAUCUACUGCAUUUUGCUCGGCUGCUGCAAAUUAUAUAGAUAUCAUUAGCUGCAUAUCUGAAACCGACCACUCACUACAGUCAAUUUGCCAUGUCAAUGUCAACGUCAGAUGGUGUAAAUAUGCUAUGCAUCACAUCAUGGUUAUUUCAUAAAUCUGAUACAUGCUUGCAUUCCGGCUCCUACUUUUUUUGUUAUAAUAAAUGGCCUAUCUUAUGGGCACUUCCAAAGCAAUAGAGGUAUAAGUUAAGGUUGCCCUCUUUCUCCCUACUUGUUUGUGCUUGCUAUAAACGAACUUUCUAUUUCUCUUCAAUAGUAAAUGUGUUGAAAUCAUUUGGAAGGGAUAUCUUUAGGGCCAGGCUGUCCACCCAUUUCACUCCCUAAUGUUUGCUGAUGAUCUUCUUCUCUGUGGUAAGGCUACUGCUACCGAAGCCAUUCACAUGUACAAUAUAUUGCAGAGUUAUUUUCAGCUUUCAGGCCAGACCCCCAAUUGGAGCAAAUCAGGUAAGAUCUUUAGCCAAAAUGUCGAUAGAAACACUAAAGAUGGCAUUAGAAACAUUUUUCAGGUGAUAGAUAUAGAUAAAAACUCAGUAUAUCUAGGACACCCUUUGAUUCUUCCAACUAAGGACAAAUCAGCUGCGUACGAUUUUGUAGCAGUAAAAUUAAGCAAUAAACUUACAGGUUACAAGGCAAACAAACUCUCUCAUGCCGGAAGGCUUACCCACAUUAAUCCUGUUUUUUUCUUCUAUUCUUGUAUAUCAUAUGUCUAACAUCCUUUUUUCAAGGAAGUUGAUUGCAGAACUUACAGCUAUCAUAAGGAACUUCUGGUGGACAAGAAUUAAUGAAGAGCCUACAACUAAAACUCUCUAUCUCUGGGCAUGGAAGGACAUAUGCAUACCAAAAUGUGAGGAUGGCUUAGGAAUCAGAAACAUUCAAGCAAUGAACAGGGGUCUCAUUCUAUCAGGAGCUUGGAGAAUUGCAGAUAUGAUCCAGAAAGUUUCCUUUCUAAAGUCCUAACAUCCAAAUAUUAUCCCAACACUUAUUUAUUGAGAGCCAGCACUAAAACCCCAAAAUCUGCAUUUUGGUCUUCCAUUAUAAAAUUACGUCAUAUUUUGAUUUCCAACUCUUCCAUACAUAUUUUAGAUGGAAAUUCAUCAAUUUGGAGCACACCCUGGUUUCCCCUUUUGCAAUCCAUCUACGACCACCUCAUAAUGCAACCAAGUCACUUUAAAUAUCCGUCUCAAGUGACAGAUCUGUGGACUCCUAAUAAAAAAUCAUGGAAAGCUAAUCUCAUCAUAUAUAAUCUUUUUGAUCAACAAACAGCUGACUGUAUAAUGCAGGUACUCGUAAUCAACCAAGAAGUAUAAGAUAUUCUAUGCUGGAAGCUACACCCAACAGGAAAAUGUUCGUCUAAAAGUGCUUAUAGAGCAUGCUUACGGGACAUGCAGCAGCAGGGGAACCCCACUCCUAGGCAGGUCCCAGAGGAAACAAAGCAACUUCUGAAGCAAGUAGAGAAGGAACAGACAAUGACACCUAGGGUGCAAACAUUUGCGUGGAGACUAUUAACGAAAGCAGUCCCACCAGGUAUGAUAGCAAUUAAGUUCUCCUCCUCACAUUAACAAACAUUGUACUCGAUGCAAUCUACAGGAAAAUGACAUGCACGUUUUGUAGCCCACUUGCUAAAGCUGCCUGUUUUUUAGACCCAUGGUACGUGAACACUGAAAUUCUCGUUCAACACUAUGAAUCUAUCCCUGCAAUUGUCAACGCAAUUCUCCAUUCCAAUCAUCCACAUGCAUCAAUUACAAACAUUAUGACUUCUUUAUGGUGUAUUUAGAAGUCCAGAAAUGAUAGUCUGUUUGGCAGGAAAGCUAAUACUAUGCAACACAUCCAUCAGGCAAUGCAGGCAAUUAUAAGAAAGAUCCUAUAAGCUAUAUACAGAAAGUGCAGGAGCUUCUUCAGUUCUUAAUUAACAAAGUCAGGACCAAGUCAAACAUGGGGAAGACCAACAGGAACCAGAAUUUGCUAUCAAUGUACAUACAGGUUUUGCAGGUCGAUUAGAGGAAUUGGUAUUCACAUGCAGACAUCAUGGUAACAUUGUAUUGCUGUAUAGAGCAGUUUACUCUUUGGCAGUUAGCUAGGCCCAUGUUAGUUGUGCUGUAGUCGAGUUGGGUAAACUAGGAUCAUAAUAAUUGUACUUUGCACGAGUUUGAUGGAGGAAGAAUCAGUACCGCCUUUAGCUUUUC